rnacentral:tRNA from 1 species
GAGGUUUUAGCUUAACUAAAAGCAUUAUCCUGAAGAGAUAAAAAUUAGGUCACCUAAAAUCUCA